rnacentral:sRNA from 1 species
GGCGAUAAGCCGGAGCAUGCUCGCAUGCGCAGGAUUAUCGACAUUUGCCAGGCAGGACGGCAUGAGCAGGGAGGGCGAAAGCCCGGACUGCGAAUGCCGUCCGCGAUCGCGGGAGUGCCGAAGGCGCGGAGCGAUCGGC